rnacentral:rRNA from 1 species
GACGAACGCUGGCGGCGUGCUUAACACAUGCAAGUCGAACGGAAAGGCCCAGCUUGCUGGGUACUCGAGUGGCGAACGGGUGAGUAACACGUGGGUGACCUGCCUUGCACUCUGGGAUAAGCCUGGGAAACUGGGUCUAAUACUGGAUAUGACUUGAGAUCGCAUGGUCUUGGGUGGAAAGCUUUUGCGGUGUGAGAUGGGCCCGCGGCCUAUCAGCUUGUUGGUGAGGUAACGGCUCACCAAGGCGACGACGGGUAGCCGACCUGAGAGGGUGAUCGGCCACACUGGGACUGAGACACGGCCCAGACUCCUACGGGAGGCAGCAGUGGGGAAUAUUGCACAAUGGGCGCAAGCCUGAUGCAGCGACGCCGCGUGAGGGAUGACGGCCUUCGGGUUGUAAACCUCUUUCGCCAGGGACGAAGCGCAAGUGACGGUACCUGGAGAAGAAGCACCGGCCAACUACGUGCCAGCAGCCGCGGUAAUACGUAGGGUGCGAGCGUUGUCCGGAAUUACUGGGCGUAAAGAGCUCGUAGGCGGUUUGUCACGUCGUCUGUGAAAUCCUGCAACUCAAUUGCAGGCGUGCAGGCGAUACGGGCAGACUUGAGUACUACAGGGGAGACUGGAAUUCCUGGUGUAGCGGUGAAAUGCGCAGAUAUUAGGAGGAACACCGGUGGCGAAGGCGGGUCUCUGGGUAGUAACUGACGCUGAGGAGCGAAAGCGUGGGGAGCGAACAG